rnacentral:lncRNA from 1 species
UAGCUGAUACCUUAACUACCUAUCCAGGUAUUUGUAGAUCUGGCGUGCGUCAGCAGCGUAGUCCAGCAGGAAUCCAACCUGUGUGCUGCUCUCUCUCUCUCUCUCUCUCUCCAAACCCUUCCCCUCUCUCUCUCUCUCUCUCUCUCUCCAAACCCUUCCCCUCUCUCUCUCUCUCUCUCUCUCUAAACCCUUCCCCUCUCUCUCUCUCUCUCUCUCUCUCCAAACCCUUCCCCCUCUCUCUCUCUCUCUCUCUCUCUCUAAACCCUUCCCCUCUCUCUCUCUCUCUCUCUCUCCAGCUCCAAACCAAACCCAGUCUAGGUAUUAGUAAACAAGGCUUUAUUUUGACUGUACAGACAGUUAGUGCAGAAUACACAAAGCUCUUAUCAGAGUGAAUAUAUUACAGAAGAACAGCGACCACUGUUUCAGGGUCUGGAAAAUAAAAUAACAUAAACUCUUUAAUCCUAUUGCCCAAUACACAGUCACACACCUAGUAAAAAAAAAUCACAGUCUCUCUACAAUGGCAUGCAGAGCCAUUGUUAAGUUCAGGGGAGAGGUUUACAGACUGAACCCUUGGGUAAAUGCCAGCUAGGUAUUAAGAGUCUCCAAAGUCGUUGUUCAGGAUGAACCAGACUCCUGUGGCUGUCUAUCUAAUACCAGGACCAUUGGAGAAUCUUUAUUGUUUUGCAUCUCAGCCAGACGUGGUUGUAGAAGAGCUGCAGUGUGUCUAUGUGUUGGCUCAGUAGUGUGCCUGAAGGUAACAGAUUAUUCCCAGGUGAAGAGAGGACAGGUAAAAGUGGAAACCUACAAAUUGGCAGCUCUUGUAACUCCAUGUUAUGAUAAAUAACAACAAAAAAGGUAGAAAUCAAAGUUUAAAUAACUUUUUUUUUUUAACCAUUGAGCGUUUUUCACUCUGAAUGGUUCAUUUACCAUCUACGACAUUAGAUUUGGUACAUCAUGUCCUGCUGCAUCGAUCAGGACUCGUCCUCAAACAGACAGACUCAUCAUGAUUCUAUAUAUAGUGACGUUUUGAAACAAACAAGGUGAGAAAGAAGAGUACAGACUGAGUUGACAAAACAUUAAGAACACCUGUUCUCUUUCCAUGACAGACUGACCAGGUGAAUCCAGGUGAAGGAUAUGAUCCCUUAUUGAUGACAUCUGUUAAAUCCACUUCAAAUCAGUGUAGAUGAAGGGGAGGAGACGAGUUAAAGGAGGAUUUUUAAGCUUUUAGACAGUUGAGACAUGGAUUGUGUGUGUGUGGUUUUAAGUGCCUUUUGAACGGGGUAUGGUAGUAGGUGCCAGGCGCACCGGUUUGUGUCAAGAACUGCAACGCUGCUGGGUUUUUCAAUCUCCACAGUUUCCCGUGUGAAUCAAGAAUGUUCCACCACCCAAAGGACAUCCGGCCAACUUGACACAACUGUGGGGAAGCAUUGGAGUCAACAUGGACCAGCAUCCCUGUGGAACGCUUUCUACACCUGGUAGAGUCCAUGUCCUGAUGAAUUGAGGCUGUUCUGAGGGGGAAAAUGGGAUUCAACUCAAUAUUAGGAAGGUGUUUUUAAUGUUUGUCCACUCAGUGUAAAGUCUCUUCUCAACAUUACACUGUACACUCCAGGUCUACUGUUAACCGCUUAGUAUUACAGAUCUACCUGUUAAAAUAACCGCAUUGAAGUAAUCACUCAUUCAUGAAUGACUUCCACAUUAGCAGGGUUCAGUCUAGUCCAGAAGAUCAGUUGUUAGAUUGUUUGGCUCGUCUUCCUCUUUCAGAGCAGCUAGUAAAAAGUCAAGUAGUAAUUUAUUAUGGAACAUUCUCCCACCGAGAAGCUGUUCAACACAACAUCGACUCCGUAUUGACAACCUUAAAGUGACAGUGUAGUCUGACUGCGUCUGAACCUCAACUUCACAGUUGUUGCUAAUGUAGAGCAUCGUUUGGCUUCACCACAGCCGUCUGUUAGAGAGAGUCAGAGAGUUCAGCUGGAAGCCCAGGUGGCUCCAGGUAAUUGGGAGUCAGAGAGUUCGGUUGGAAGCCCAGGUGGCUCCAGGUAAUUAGGAGUCAGAGAGUUCAGUUGGAAGCCCAGGUGGCUCCAGGUAAUUGGGAGUCAGAGAGUUCAGCUGGAAGCCCAGGUGGCUCCAGGUAAUUGGGAGUCAGAGAGUUCAGGUGGAAGCCCAGGUGGCUCCAGGUAAUUGGGAGUCAGAGAGUUCAGUUGGAAGCCCAGGUGGCUCCAGGUUAUUGGGAGUCAGAGUUCAGUUGGAAGCCCAGGUGGCUCCAGGUUAUUGGGAGUCAGAGAGUUCGGUUGGAAGCCCAGGUGGCUCCAGGUAAUUAGGAGUCAGAGAGUUCAGCUGGAAGCCCAGGUGGCUCCAGGUUAUUAGGAGUCAGAGAGUUCAGUUGGAAGCCCAGGUGGCUCUGGGUAAUUAGGAGUCAGAGAGUUCAGUUGGAAGCCCAGGUGGCUCCAGGUAAUUGGGAGUCAGAGAGUUCAGCUGGAAGCCCAGGUGGCUCCAGGUUAUUGGGAGUAAACGUUCAGCUGGAAGCCCAGGUUGUUCCAGGUUAUAGGGAGUAAACGUUCAGUUGGAAGCCCAGGUGGCUCCAGGUUAUUAGGAGUCAGAGAGUUCAGCUGGAAGCCCAGGUGGCUCCAGGUUAUUAGGAGUCAGAGAGUUCGGUUGGAAGCCCAGGUGGCUCCAGGUUAUUGGGACUCAGAGAGUUCGGUUGGAAGCCCAGGUGGCUCCAGGUUAUUGGGAGUCAGAGAGUUCAGCUGGAAGCCCAGGUGGCUCCAAGUAAUUAGGAGUCAGAGAGUUCAGUUGGAAGCCCAGGUGGCUCCAGGUAAUUGGGAGUCAGAGAGUUCAGCUGGAAGCCCAGGUGGCUCCAGGUUAUUGGGAGUAAACGUUCAGCUGGAAGCCCAGGUAGUUCCAGGUUAUAGGGAGUAAACGUUCAGUUGGAAGCCCAGGUGGCUCCAGGUUAUUAGGAGUCAGAGAGUUCAGCUGGAAGCCCAGGUGGCUCCAGGUUAUUAGGAGUCAGAGAGUUCGGUUGGAAGCCCAGGUGGCUCCAGGUUAUUGGGAGUCAGAGAGUUCGGUUGGAAGCCCAGGUGGCUCCAGGUUAUUGGGAGUCAGAGUUCAGUUGGAAGCCCAGGUGGCUCCAGGUUAUUGGGAGUCAGAGAGUUCGGUUGGAAGCCCAGGUGGCUCCAGGUAAUUAGGAGUCAGAGAGUUCAGCUGGAAGCCCAGGUGGCUCCAGGUUACAUGGUAGUUAUUGCCAAUAGAGGAAGAAAAGGUGAUCCAUCCAUAUUUCUAGGAUGAGAAGGCACUUUGGUGACAAGACUUAGGCUACGUCUGAAAUUACACCCUAUCCCCUAAAAAUCAGGGAAUUAGGUGCCAUUUUGGACACACCCUGGACAGUAAUAUGUAUUGAACUGGUCUAUCAUCGUCGUGGCAGAUGAGUGUGUGUGUUUUCCAGUAGCCUUUUUAUUAACUUCAUGGUCUUUGGGUCGUGCAUCCUGUCUAACAGAUCUUCUCUGGAAUGUUAAAAACUGAGGUUUUAUCCAAGGAGGUUGUGUUUCCCUGGCCAC